rnacentral:rRNA from 1 species
GCAAGGAAUCUUCCGCAAUGGGCGAAAGCCUGACGGAGCAACGCCGCGUGGGUGACGAAGCCCUUCGGGGUGUAAAGCCCUUUUCUGGGGGAAGAAAAAUGACGGUACCCCAGGAAUAAGCAUCGGCUAACUACGUGCCAGCAGCCGCGGUAAUACGUAGGAUGCAAGCGUUGUCCGGAAUUACUGGGCGUAAAGAGCGCGCAGGUGGUGCUUUAAGUUAGGCGUGAAAGCUCCCGGCUCAACUGGGAAGGGUCGUCUAAAACUGGGGCACUGGAGGGCAGGAGAGGAAAGUGGAAUUCCCGGUGUAGUGGUGAAAUGCGUAGAUAUCGGGAGGAACACCAGUGGCGAAGGCGGCUUUCUGGCCUGCCCCUGACGCUGAGGCGCGAAGGCUAGGGGAGCGAACGGGAUUAGAAACCCGUGUAGUCC